rnacentral:rRNA from 1 species
AGAGUUUGAUCCUGGCUCAGAUUGAACGCUGGCGGCAUGCCUUACACAUGCAAGUCGAACGGCAGCGCGGGGCAACCUGGCGGCGAGUGGCGAACGGGUGAGUAAUAUAUCGGAACGUACCCUAGAGUGGGGGAUAACGUAGCGAAAGUUACGCUAAUACCGCAUACGAUCUACGGAUGAAAGUGGGGGAUCGCAAGACCUCAUGCUCAUGGAGCGGCCGAUAUCUGAUUAGCUAGUUGGUGAGGUAAAGGCUCACCAAGGCUUCGAUCAGUAGCUGGUCUGAGAGGACGAUCAGCCACACUGGAACUGAGACACGGUCCAGACUCCUACGGGAGGCAGCAGUGGGGAAUUUUGGACAAUGGGCGCAAGCCUGAUCCAGCAAUGCCGCGUGAGUGAAGAAGGCCUUCGGGUUGUAAAGCUCUUUUGUCAGGGAAGAAACGGUAGGGGCUAAUAUCCUCUACUAAUGACGGUACCUGAAGAAUAAGCACCGGCUAACUACGUGCCAGCAGCCGCGGUAAUACGUAGGGUGCAAGCGUUAAUCGGAAUUACUGGGCGUAAAGCGUGCGCAGGCGGUUUUGUAAGUUUGUCGUGAAAUCCCCGGGCUUAACCUGGGAAUUGCGAUGAAGACUGCAAGGCUAGAAUCUGGCAGAGGGGGGUAGAAUUCCACGUGUAGCAGUGAAAUGCGUAGAGAUGUGGAGGAACACCGAUGGCGAAGGCAGCCCCCUGGGUCAAGAUUGACGCUCAUGCACGAAAGCGUGGGGAGCAAACAGGAUUAGAUACCCCUGUAGUCC